GCCUCGGUGGUGUAGUGGUAGAGCACGCGUCGCCGGACAGGAUGAAAUGCGGAUUCGAUUCCUGGCUGAGGCC